CAGUAGCCGCGGUAACACCAGCAGCCCAAGUGGUGGUCGCGAUUAUUGGGCCUAAAGCGCUCGUGGCCGGGCCGGUAAGUCCCUUGUGAAAUCGGACGGCCUAACCGUUCGGCGUGCAAGGGAUACUGUCGGUCUUGAGGCCGGGAGACGUCCGAGGUACUCCGGGGGUAGCGGUGAAAUGUUCUGAUCCUCGGGGGACCACCGGUGGCGAAGGCGUUCGACGAGAACGGGCCUGACGGUGAGGGGCGAAGGCUAGGGGAGCAAACGGGAUUAGAUACCCCCGUAGUCCCUGUCUCUUAUA
rnacentral:rRNA from 1 species